rnacentral:RNase_P_RNA from 1 species
GGAGCCGGCCAGACAGUCGCGUCAUCGAUCGUGCUAGUCACGAUGGAUGCCGAGGAAAGUCCGGGCUCCACAGGGCACGGUGCCAGGUAACGCCUGGGCGGCGCGAGCCGACGGAAAGUGCAACAGAAAGAUACCGCCGAACGGUUCUUCGGAAUGCGUGGCAAGGGUGAAAUGGUGCGGUAAGAGCGCACCGCGAGUCCGGUAACGGACCGGCACGGCAAACCCCACCGGGAGCAAGACCAAAUAGGGAGGCUAUGCUGCGGCCCGCAGUGUCUCCGGGUAGGUUGCUUGAGCGUAACGGUGACGUUGCGCCUAGAGGAAUGACUGUCCACGACAGAACCCGGCUUACCGGCCGGCUCCGCCA